rnacentral:rRNA from 1 species
ACUCCUACGGGAGGCAGCAGUGGGGAAUCUUGCGCAAUGGGCGAAAGCCUGACGCAGCGACGCCGCGUGAGUGAUGAAGGCCUUCGGGUUGUAAAGCUCUGUGGAGGGGGACGAAUAAGUGUCGUCGAAUAGACGGCAUGAUGACGGUACCCCUUUAGCAAGCACCGGCUAACUCUGUGCCAGCAGCCGCGGUAAGACAGAGGGUGCAAACGUUGUUCGGAAUUACUGGGCGUAAAGCGCGUGUAGGCUGCUCGGAAAGUCGGAUGUGAAAGCCCUGGGCUCAACCCAGGAAGAGCAUUCGAAACUUCCGAGCUUGAGUUUCGGAGAGGCAGGCGGAAUUCUCGGUGUAGAGGUGAAAUUCGUAGAUAUCGAGAGGAACACCGGUGGCGAAGGCGGCCUGCUGGACGAUGACUGACGCUGAGACGCGAAAGCGUGGGGAGCAAACAGGAUUAGAUACCCUGGUAGUCCACGCCGUAAACGAUGGGUGCUAGGUGUCGCGGGCUUUGACCCCUGCGGUGCCGUAGCUAACGCAUUAAGCACCCCGCCUGGGGAGUACGGCCGCAAGGCUAAAACUCAAAUGAAUUGACGG